GACGAACGCUGGCGGCGUGCUUAAUACAUGCAAGUCGAACGGAAAGGCCUUGUUUUUGUGGGGUGCUCGAGUGGCGAAAGCGUGAGUAACACGUGAGUAACCUGCCCUUGACUUUGGGAUAACUUCAGGAAACUGGGGCUAAUAUCGGACAGGAGCUCCUGCUGCAUGGUGGGGGUUGGAAAGUUUCGUCGGUUGGGGAUGGACUCGCGGCUUAUCAGCUUGUUGGUGGGGUAGUGGCUUACAAAGGCUCCGACGGGUAGCCGGACUGCGAGGGUGACCGGCCACAUUGGGACUGAGAAGCGGCCCAGACUCCUACGGGGGCCAUCAGUGGGAAUUAUUGCACGAUGGGCGGAAGCCGGAUGCAGCAUCUUCGCGUGCGAGAUGACUGCCUUCAGGGUGUAACCCUCUUGCGCCUGUGACGAAGCGUGAGUGACGGUAAUUGGUAAAGAAGCACCGGCUAACUACGUG
rnacentral:rRNA from 1 species